GACGAACGCUGGCGGCGUGCCUAAUACAUGCAAGUUGAGCGCUGAAGGUUGGUACUUGUACCAACUGGAUGAGCAGCAAACGGGUGAGUAACGCGUGGGGAAUCUGCCUUUGAGCGGGGGACAACAUUUGGAAACGAAUGCUAAUACCGCAUAAAAACUUUAAACACAAGUUUUAAGUUUGAAAGAUGCAAUUGCAUCACUCAAAGAUGAUCCCGCGUUGUAUUAGCUAGUUGGUGAGGUAAAGGCUCACCAAGGCGAUGAUACAUAGCCGACCUGAGAGGGUGAUCGGCCACAUUGGGACUGAGACACGGCCCCAACUCCUACGGGAGGCAGCAGUAGGGAAUCUUCGGCAAUAGACGAAAGUCUGACCGAGCAACGCCGCGUGAGUGAAGAAGGUUUUCGGAUCGUAAAACUCUGUUGGUAGAGAAGAACGUUGGUGAGAGUGGAAAGCUCAUCAAGUGACGGUAACUACACAGAAAGGGACGGCUAACUACGUG
rnacentral:rRNA from 1 species